AACGAACGCUGGCGGCAGGCCUAACACAUGCAAGUCGAGCGAACCCUUCGGGGUUAGCGGCGGACGGGUUAGUAACGCGUGGGAACGUACCCAUCUCUACGGAAUAGCCUCGGGAAACUGAGAGUAAUACCGUAUACGCCCUUCGGGGGAAAGGAAUUUCGGGGAGUGGAUCGGCCCGCGUUAGAUUAGGUAGUUGGUGAGGUAACGGCUCACCAAGCCUACGAUCUAUAGCUGGUUUGAGAGGAUGAUCAGCAACACUGGGACUGAGACACGGCCCAGACUCCUACGGGAGGCAGCAGUGGGGAAUCUUCGGCAAUGGGCGCAAGCCUGACCGAGCCAUGCCGCGUGAGUGAUGAAGGCCUUAGGGUCGUAAAGCUCUUUCGCCAGAGAUGAUAAUGACAGUAUCUGGUAAAGAAACCCCGGCUAACUCCGUGCCAGCAGCCGCGGUAA
rnacentral:rRNA from 1 species